GAUGAACGCUGGCGGCGUGCCUAAUACAUGCAAGUCGAGCGAACAGACGAGGAGCUUGCUCCUCUGACGUUAGCGGCGGACGGGUGAGUAACACGUGGAUAACCUACCUAUAAGACUGGGAUAACUUCGGGAAACCGGAGCUAAUACCGGAUAAUAUAUUGAACCGCAUGGUUCAAUAGUGAAAGACGGUUUUGCUGUCACUUAUAAAUGGAUCCGCGCCGCAUUAGCUAGUUGGUAAGGUAACGGCUUACCAAGGCGACGAUGCGUAGCCGACCUGAGAGGGGGAUCGGCCACACUGGAACUGAGACACGGUCCAGACUCCUACGGGAGGCAGCAGUAGGGAAUCUUCCGCAAUGGGCGAAAGCCUGACGGAGCAACGCCGCGUGAGUGAUGAAGGUCUUCGGAUCGUAAAACUCUGUUAUUAGGGAAGAACAAAUGUGUAAGUAACUAUGCACGUCUUGACGGUACCUAAUCAGAAAGCCACGGCUAACUACGUG
rnacentral:rRNA from 1 species